ensembl:lncRNA
GAACUUUUCUUUUUACAGUGUUAAAUUAUGGUUUUCACUGUUUUAACACAAUUACGUUAACAGAUUAGAACACGUGCAUCUGUUAGAUAAAGCUUUUGGAAGUUUGUGAGGAAAGAGUUAUUUGUCAAGGAAUAAUUGUGCAGGCAUUCUGACGUCGCACGCACGUUUCAUCCGCGGGCGAACUGGAUUCAGAUAAUUACUGUACAUUAAUCGCAUGUCAUGUUUUUGACAGCACCGCUUCCUAUACUGUGAAGUUUUUCGAUGGAGUAGUCAAGACCAUUAAGCCAACCAAAGUAAAGCCAUAUAAGCUAGAGAAAGUUAACGCGAACUGAGGAAGAGGAGGGUGUGUCUCUUGGACAGAGGCCACCGCCAAAGAGGGAAAGGUCAGACACAAGCAAAGUGUUGGAGAGUAGGCUGGACUACACAGGGGAACUGGAACCUCCUGACCCGUUGACCUGAUUGCCUCAGCUCAAACAUCUCAUCAGACAGAUGGUCAGAGACCUGGGCACCGUGCAUCAGAUGUCCCUCUGCUCCUCCAACACAUGAGUGCCCCACUGAGUUCAUCACUUCACCACAGAGACCUGGCUGGAGCAGGGCGUAGCAAGCAACACUACAGUACAAAUGAUGGGUGCAAGUUUAAGUUUGUUCCAACUGAGCAAGUCUGACCGGAUGUCAGAGACCACUAUGAUGACACACCAAAUGAUGACCACCAAUCAAAGACCGCUAUGAUGACACACCAAAUGAUGACCACCAAUCAGAGACCACUAUGAUGACACACCAAAUGAUGACCACCAAUCAGAGACCACUAUGAUGACACACCAAAUGAUGACCACCAAUCAAAGACCGCUAUGAUGACACACCAAAUGAUGACCACCAAUCAGAGACCACUAUGAUGACACACCAAAUGAUGACCACCAAUCAGAGACCACUAUGAUGACACACCAAAUGAUGACCACCAAUCAGAGACCACUAUGAUGACACACCAAAUGAUGACCACCAAUCAAAGACCGCUAUGAUGACACACCAAAUGAUGACCACCAAUCAGACACCACUAUGAUGACACACCAAAUGAUGACCACCAAUCAAAGACCACUAUGAUGACACACCAAUCAGAGACCACUAUGAUGACACACCAAAUGCAUUUAGAUGAAUCUUGUUCUGUCUUCUGUCCAAAAGUAACUGAAAGUAAUCAGAUUGAUAAUGAGUUUGGAUAAUCCCAAAGUUACGUAACUGAUUACAAUUGUGGACAGGUAACUGUAACGGAUUACAUUGUUGAAGGUAACAUAUAGUCCACAACCCUGUGUGUGGGUGACAGGGACAGAGACGUUAACAGGGGAUUCCUGAGAUACCUGCUACUACUGACAAUUCAGGAAUCAACCAUAUGAAAUGUCUGGCAACCUGCAUUCCUGCCAUGGUGAUGAAGGAUGGAUAGGACAGGCUACUUUUCUGAAAUGCAAGAAAAAUAAGAACAGAACAUAACCAUGUUUAACACUUUUUUAGUUUAGUUUUUAUUAAUUUGACCAUUAAAAAAAAAAAAAAAACAAGCACACAUAAAACUUAAAAGCCAUACAUGAAACUUAGGUUUUUGAUUGUAAGUCAACCCCUCCUAAUAAUAUAGUUCUUGCAAUUCAAUGUAAAACAUGGUGAAUACUUUGUUUUUGCUAACAUCAAUCAUCUAUAUCCAACAGGGCUUUAUGAUUGGAUGGUUUUGCUGAAAGGUUCAAAUGUAGACCACUGUAGGCUUUUUCUUCUACAGUUCUAUUAAAUGUUUAUAUAACAUUACACAUGUGUGUUCAAUGUAAGCA